GAUUAUUAUUUAUGUAAGCUUGAUUGUGGGAAUAUGUUUGUGGAAUAAUAGAGAAAACCAUGUGCACUGUAGCGCUCUUCCACAAUGAAGAUCUCAUUGCAACUUUUUUCUUUUCGUUAGGCAGUAAAAAUAUGGAAGAUGAUCUGGAUAAUCGCUACAACUCGAAUUGGGAUGCUAAAUGCAAUGGUCAAGGCCAUCGUCGGGUUGUGUUCAUUUAUCCAUCUCGAAGCUAGCACUCUACGGAGCAAGCACUCUGUUGUCUUGGUGGUACUAAUUCAAUCUUCACAGGAGGCAUGGGAACACUGGUGCCUAAUGUCCUCUACGUGGGGACUAUAGUUGUGGUUCUAAAAUUGGCUUUUCAGGGCACACCUAUCUGUUAGUAUUCCCCUCCCGGAUGAAGGUGAAGGAAAUUGAAGGUACACCUCUUGGACGAAGAUUCCCUAAAAGCUUUGCUCCGGCUCCUGAGGCUAGCACAGUGGAUCAACUGUUGCUGGAGUUGAUGUUACUCCUCCUCCAUCUUCUGCAACUGUACUUUCAACUGGAAAUGGCAAUUCAAUUAUGCAAGGGAUUGAAUUGAGAUUCUACCAAACAGCAAGGCCAGCUGCAUGACAGCGUUAGUUGAAUAAAAGUGAGUAUGAAAGAGCGGGCCAAGAGAUUUUACCAUUCAACCAUAUCCGCAUUUUUUGUUGGGAUGGGCGUAUCUCUUGGUAUUGAUGUAUUAGAAUCUCCCAUAGCAGCAAAAUAUUACCACACUGAAUAACUUCCAUACUGACUGCUAUGACGAAAACUAUUAUCCCGGAUUGAGCAGUGUCCAGACUGAUCCAAUUGCUACAACUUUGGCUUCCUCCAUAUCAAAGUAACUUUCUUUGAUUUGCGAUAAUACAUACAAGUCUUCCAUAUGUUUGAUUCACAAUUAAAUUCUAUACGUCUUGCUUAUUUUUAGGGUGUUAUGCGAAAUUGUAAAGGUAGAAAUAUUUUAAAAAAAAUGUAGGUAUGGUUUUAGUUCCGGUCAAAUAUACAUGAAUAGUCGUAUUUAUUUAGCGAUUCUUACUACUAAGCUCUUAAUGUGGUGUUGAAUUGUAGAUGGUGAUUUGUUAUUGUAGUUUGAAAGUGAUUCAUGGGGUUGCUUUUUCAAGCUUCGAACUUUAUAAAUUGUGGAGGUUGUUUGGCAUACAACUGUAUUGCGUCGGAGUAGGUCUGUGCUCCGAGUUGUCACCAAAGAAAAACCAAAUAUACAACGAAAGAGCCCUGCAAAUUCGAAGUUCUAUUUAAUUCGUUUUUUUCUUUACAUUUUUGGUAAUUCAUAUAGCUAUAUUUAGACAAUAAUUUUUGAAGAUCACAAAAGAGUUGAAAUUUAAAUUUUGUACAGGAUCAACUGCUGCUAAAUAGUAGGGUCAAUGUGAUAGGAAGCAUUUCGAACCUGUUGUACAACGGGAAGGAACCUGUUUUUCCAACAUGUUUCACGGUCCCUAAAGGUCUUGAGCUGGAUAUCAGGGCAUCGGAACAAUAGGGCUUGGCGAGAAGGCAACAGUAUAUUUUAGUAAUCAAUGCUAGAAUUUUAGCAAUUAAUACUAGAAGAAUCUCCUUUCAUGCCGAAUGAAGAAGGUUUUGACUUUUGAAGAUGUCCAGUUCAAUAUGGAAUUAGUUCACUUCAUUCAAGCACGUCUGGUGAAAUCCUUUAUUCAGGAGAAUUCUUGGCCAAGUCCUACUAUAAAACUCAGUGUGGUGACAUCCUUUCUUUUUCGACAUUAUCUAUAAUUAGCUCAUAUCUGAUAUUUUUUUCUUGGAAUAACUGGAUGUCGUAACAGCUUUUGAGGUUGUUAA